CUUUCUGUCUGCUGGAGAUAGGAGCGGAGGGGCUCCACCCCGUUCCACUGUCUAGGCACGAGGAAGUUGAGGGGGAGGUCUUCCCCUCUCCAGAAGGCUGAAAGCCGAUUCCUCUUCUUUCCCUGGAGUGGCUUCUGAACGUAAGGACUCCUGUCUCCUGUGAAUAGUGGUGGGCCGAGGGUGCCUACUCCACAGGCACAGCCCCGUCUCUCUUUGCCUCCAAAGUCCUGAACUGUUGAGAGUGUGUGUUUGGAGGGGCGGGGGCGCGCUAGGGUGGUCUCACUCUGCUUCCCUACGGAAAGCUCCCUUCUUUCCACUUCUGGGGGUCUCCUCCCCGGCCAGUACAGGGGUCUUCCUCGCCUCUAGGCAGGAGAGAGGCGUCCCCUCCAGGGGUCUCUUCUUUCCCUCACCCGAGUGGUAAGGGUCUUUUCUCUCCAACAGGGGGAGAGGUUGCUCGCGUCCCCGCUCCCGCCUCCGCUCCCGGGGUGCCCCAGAGGGUGGGGCUUUCGUACUCCCGGCUGUCCCUGAGCUGGCCUGGGCAGCACGGUCCGGGAGGCCGCGGCUCGAGACUCCGGUCCCUGCUACUGUGGCGGCAGCACCUCCUCUAGGGCCGUCCUGUCGGGUCCGCUCCCUUCGGCGCGUGGGGCUCCCCGCGCUGCCACCGCUCGGGCUCCGACCAGUCUGGGCUCCCGGGGAGCCAGAAGGCGGGCAGACAGUGUCAGGGCUCGGCGCGGGCUCGGGCUCGGCUCGGCUCCGCUGCAGGCCCCGGCUCCUCCCCGGCCUCCGCGCCGCGCUCCGCGCCCCUCCCCCUCCCCCGCCCGCCGGCCGCUGCCGCCACCGCCUCCCGGCGCGGGUUAAGGAGGAGCCGGGAGACGCCGAGCCGCGGGCAGCGCCGAGCCGCGAGCCUCGCUACCCGGUGUGCGCUCCGCCUGGAGAGCCACGGCCGCUCUCACGCCGGCGAGGGAUCUCGCCGCCCUCGCCCACCUGCGGCCGCGUGGCUCCGGGAGUUCGCCGUCUACCCGGGAUGACAACUCACUGCUCCCCGUCGGGAGAGUCCCUAGUGCGCACCGUAUACCGUCAAUUCCAGCUGACACCCCAACUCCGGCGUUUCAUUCUGUUAAACUCCGUAUACAGAUGAACAGCCCCAGCUUUCUCAGGACUGUCUUUGAUGGGCUUCUCUUUCCCUCGAGAUAAUUUAUAAAGGAUCAUGAGCAUUGAGGUGAAGAUUGGGGUGAAGUUUAUAUGUUACCCUUAUAUCAUCCUGGAAUUCAGUAAAUGCUCCUUGAAUGAGUGGAUACAUGAUAAAUGAGCGUGUAACGGUGAAAUAAACAUCAGAAGAUCUGGGUCCUGUUCCUUGUUUCAGCUUCCUAAACUUGUGCAUGGCCCUUGUUCUCCGCAAUCUUGCUCAGCGAAGAAGGGACCUUGAUACUUGGCCUGCUUACCCUUUACAGCUGUCACAUCCUGAAGUCAUAUUAUUCUGCUGCAAAUUCUCAUAUAUUUCAUACUCUGGCUUUUUUUUUUUUUUUUUUUUUUUUUUUGAGGUGUUGUUUCACUUAUUGCCCAGGCUGGAGUGCAAUGGCACGAUCUGGGCCCACUGCAACCUACGCCUCCCGGGUUCAAGCGAUUCUUCUGUCUCAGCCUCCCCAGCAGCUGGGAUGCCUCAGCCUCCGGAGCAGCUGGGAUUACAGGCGCGCGCCACCACGCCCGGCUAAUUUUUGUAUUUUUAGUAGAGAUGGGGUUUCACCAAGUUGGCCAGGCUGGUCUCGAACUCCUGACCUCGUGAUCCACCUUCCUCGGCCUCCCAAAGUGCUGGGAUUACAGGUGUGAGCCACCGCGCCCGGCCCAUACUCAGGCUUUUUAAACUUUUAUCAAACUACCCUACUUUCUUUCCUUUCUUUCUUUAUCUUUUUCUUCUUUUUAAAUAGAGGCAGGGUCUCAGUAUGCUGCCGAGGCUGGUCUUUAAUUCCUGGGUUUAAACUAUUCUCCCUUUUUAUGCCUCCAAAGUGCUGGGAUUACAGGCAGGAAACACGGCCCGGCCUACUCUCUACUUUAUAGCACAUAAGAUAAUAGGAGGCCAGGCGCAGUGGCUCACGCCCGUAAUCCCAAAGCUUUGGGAGGCCGAGGCGGGGGGAUCACUUGAAGUCAGGAAUUGGAGACCAGCCUGGCCAACGUGGUGAAACCCCUGUCUCUACUAAAAAUACAAAAAUUAGCCCGGCGCGGUGGCGGACGCCUGUAGUGCCGGCUAAGGCAGGAGAAUCGCUUGAACCCGGAAAGCGGUGGUUGCAGUGAGCCGAGACCGCGCCACUCCACUCCAGCCUGGGCGACAGAGCCAGGUUCCGUCUAAAAAAAAAAAAAAAAAAAAAGAAUUAGCCAGGCGUGGUAGUGCGUGCCUGUAAUCCCAGCUACCUGGGAGGCUGAGGCAGGAGAAUCACUUGAAACUGGGAGACGGAGGUUGCAGUAAGCCCAGAUCGUGCCGCUGCACUCCAGCCUGGGAGACAGUGAGACACCGUCUCAAAAAAAAAAAAAAAAAAAGAUAAUACGAAUACAAAAAUAUUGCUUGCAAAAUAUUUGAAUUGCCCCCAAAAGACUGCAUACUUAAGUUGUAUGUAUAUAUUAUAUGAAUAAUUAUAUUUACAAUAUGCCAGGCAUUGCACUGAGCAUUCUGCAUGUGUUGUCACAUUGAUGAUUCUAGCGAUUCCCUAAGACACUAUUAUUAUACUUCUUUUACAGAUGAGAAAAUUGUGACUUACAGAUACUAUGUGUGAGUUCGCUUAAUUAGUAAGUAGCAGAGUCAGGACUUAAAUCCAAAUGACUCCGAUGCCCAGCUCUUGACUUCUAUACCAUUGUCCGGAGCGAUCAGAAUUUAAAGUCAUCCUCAAAAUUAAAGGCAGUAAACCAAAACAAGCCUGUUCUUCCUGCUCACACUUCCUAUAUUCAGGUUUAAAGAUGUAUUUUUCCUCUCUUUGAGGCAUUAAAUAAUUCUCCCACACGCAGAUAAUUUGGCGGCAAAUCUUUCUUGCUAUGUAUUAGAUGUUUUGUUAUGUUUCAACCGUUUUUGACAUUUCCUGUGUAUGGAAAUUGGAGGGCUUGAGUGACAGGCAGUUGUACUAAAAAUGGAAACAUGAGGGAAGGAUUAGAAUCUUCCUGGCAAUUUGGAAAAAUAAAAAGCUCAAGAAAUUAUUUGGUUUUUACAAGACAUUUGCUGCAGUAUUUUUUGUAACUGGAAAAUUAGAAAAGACCUAAAUAUCCAAAAUAGGGUAAUUUUAAAUAUAUUAUGGCACAUCUGUACAACAGAGUACUAUUUAGCAUUUGCAAGAAUAAUUGUAUUUAUCUCUGAAAGGUAGAGUGAGUGGAGUUGUUUUAUUUUUAUAAUGUUCUUUAUCAUUUAGAUAUUUUGCAGUAGGCAUACAUUAUUUUAAAGAACCAUUGUUUUAUAUAUCUGACUUAUUUGAGUGAGAAAAUAAUAUUUUAAAAUUUGUAUAAUGCAAUCAUAUAGUUGCUUUUUAAAAUAUAUAUAUGUUCAUGCAUAUAUUUGUGUGCAUACCAAUAGACACAUAGAAGAUGGAUACACACCAAAGAUGUGAGUUUAUGGAUUAUUUUAAUUUACUUCAUUUUUUAAUGUAUCUAUAAUUAGUGUUUGUGUAGAUUUGCUUAUGUAAUUUUUAAAAUUAAAAGAAACUGACAAGGC
rnacentral:lncRNA from 1 species